rnacentral:rRNA from 2 species
GGUUAAGCGACUAAGCGUACACGGUGGAUGCCCUGGCAGUCAGAGGCGAUGAAGGACGUGCUAAUCUGCGAUAAGCGUCGGUAAGGUGAUAUGAACCGUUAUAACCGGCGAUUUCCGAAUGGGGAAACCCAGUGUGUUUCGACACACUAUCAUUAACUGAAUCCAUAGGUUAAUGAGGCGAACCGGGGGAACUGAAACAUCUAAGUACCCCGAGGAAAAGAAAUCAACCGAGAUUCCCCCAGUAGCGGCGAGCGAACGGGGAGCAGCCCAGAGCCUGAAUCAGUGUGUGUGUUAGUGGAAGCGUCUGGAAAGGCGCGCGAUACAGGGUGACAGCCCCGUACACAAAAAUGCACAUGCUGUGAGCUCGAUGAGUAGGGCGGGACA